AGGCGACAGCUGCUUGCCCUCCCCGAUCCGCAGGGGCAUCUGCUCCCCAACCGGCGCCCGAUACUUGAAUCUGCAGCUGCUUGCCCAUCCGAUGCCGCGGCCCCAUUGAGGACUACCAGAACACGGGCAGCUUCAAGGACAUCACGGUGGAGAGUGGAGACGUCCGGUUGUGUCAGGAGUGCCAUAGAUUUUAUUCCCGAUUUGCCAAGUUCUUGACAGGCUGUGAGGUACCCAGCCGAAGCACUGAAUCUCCUCUCCUCCGCAGCUCCGCUGGAACGGCGUUUUCUGGAGAAGCCUCCCGAUUCAUUGGUAAGCUGCAGCUCGCUCCUUUCAGUUCGUUCCAUAUGUGCCACAACUUGCUCCUUGCAUGCUCUACAAAUGCUCGAUGAAAUGCCGGCAAGGAAAGUCGUCCAUGCUUUCAUGAUAAUAUUUGUGGUUUUCAUUAAUAGGAUUGACAAGAACGGCUAAAAUAUUCUCAUUGAGCAGAUACAAUAUUUUAUUGUCGAAGGAGCCGAUAAGGAGCCAACCCUCCAAUUUUCACAUCUGCCGAAGUCAUGUUGCAGGCAGUCAAUUGAGUUCAAUCUAUGUUAUGGUCCUUAAAUUAUUAGUCCAGUGCUCAGUUCUGAAUUGUUAUGGUUCGUAAUAUAUUAAGAACCAAUGCAAGUAGGCUGCCACUCGAAUCAAAAUGCAGGCCUUUGCUGCAAGCCUGCCAUGAACAGAUUGCAACACUGUUGGCCACCUCCAAGUCCCUGCUGUGUGGCACCAGGCCAAUCGAUGUCUGAACUUCUAUGCCUGUACUGCAUCUGGUCCAAUGUAGAGAGUAUUACGAAUGCAAGUUUGCAGCAGUCAAACUCUCUGCUAGGAGUCUGUAGUUGCUGUGAUGGGGUAAACUUGUAUCAAAUGCAGAUGUUUGGUAGGUUACAACAAUUGGCAUGGCAUUGUCCAUGAUCGGAG
rnacentral:lncRNA from 1 species